UACAGAGGGUGCAAGCGUUAAUCGGAAUUACUGGGCGUAAAGGGCUCGUAGGCGGCCAACUAAGUCAGACGUGAAAUCCCUCGGCUCAACCGGGGAACUGCAUCUGAUACUGGAUGGCUUGAGAUUGGGAGAGGGAUGCGGAAUUCCAGGUGUAGCGGUGAAAUGCGUAGAUAUCUGGAGGAACACCGGUGGCGAAGGCGGCAUCCUGGACCAACACUGACGCUGAGGAGCGAAAGCCAGGGGAGCAAACGGG
rnacentral:rRNA from 1 species